AUGAACGCUGGCGGCGUGCUUAACACAUGCAAGUCGAACGGAAAGGCUCCUGCUUGCAGGGGUACUCGAGUGGCGAACGGGUGAGUAACACGUGGGUGAUCUGCCCUGCACUUCGGGAUAAGCCUGGGAAACUGGGUCUAAUACCGGAUAGGACCACAUUUUGGAUGGUGUGGUGGAAAGUUUUUCGGUGUGGGAUGAGCUCGCGGCCUAUCAGCUUGUUGGUGGGGUAAUGGCCUACCAAGGCGUCGACGGGUAGCCGGCCUGAGAGGGUGUACGGCCACAUUGGGACUGAGAUACGGCCCAGACGCCUACGGGAGGCAGCAGUGGGGAAUAUUGCACAAUGGGCGCAAGCCUGAUGCAGCGACGCCGCGUGGGGGAUGACGGCCUUCGGGUUGUAAACUCCUUUCGCUAGGGACGAAGCGCAAGUGACGGUACCUGGAGAAGAAGCACCGGCUAACUACGUG
rnacentral:rRNA from 1 species